GAAAUCGUCCCUCCUAAAGACCUAACCAUUAACUACAUACUGUCUGAAACAAGUGUUAGAUCCCAGGGCUGCCUCUUCAUUCCAGUCUGCCUUCUUGGAGAAUCAUCAGAUCUCUAGAGUCCUUAUUUCCCCAAACCUGGGCUGCUGCAGACUUCCACUCUGAUUUCCCCCAAGAGGUUUGACUCAGCCUAUGACCUUGAGCAAGUCCCUCCCACCUCCAGGCCCCAGUGUCCACACUUGUCAGAUGGAAGAAUAAGCUCAAAAUGGGGUUCCUUCUAACGGGCAGAGACUCUGGAACUGUCAUCUUCCAGAUGGGUGGAGGAGGUGGGCAAGGCCAGCUGAGCCCCAGGGUGAGGCAGGAAAUGGAAGAGCAGACCCCGGACCCAGCCUGGUGCCCAUUUCAUCAAUGUCUGCUUUUGUCUGGAGCGCUCAGCAAGCAGGGGACAGAGGAAGGGAAAGAAGACGAAGACAGCAGCCAAGUUGCACAGCACAAAACAGCACUCUGCUUGCAGAUACCCAGCCCAGAGUUCAAACGCCAGCUCAGCCACAUCUCUUGCUGUGUGAUCUUGGACAAACCGCCUACCUCCCCAAGCCUCGGAACUCUCAUUUAUAAAACCAGCAGCAAUCAGGAUCCUCAUUUCCAGUUACAGUGUGAAUGAGCCUUGCUCUCGCAGCAACUGCAGACCUGGAAUUUCCCAGCACUGCAGAGCAAAACCAACCCACAGCCCAGGGCUCCAACUCAAAGGCUCUGAGUCUCCCCUCUGCACGGUCUGGAUGUGGGAGUCCUUUGAAAGAGGUCAAGGCCAAGUCCCUUUCCCUGUCUGUCAAGCAGAAUACUGAGGAAGAGAGCUGACUGGCACCUCCCUCGCAGGAAAGCAACAGGCCAAGUGAGCUGUUAUACGGUAACAGACACUCAGAUUCGACGCUGGAUGGUGCAGUGCAGGAGUACUCGAAGUAUGUCCCUGGACCAGCAUCAUCCAGGAACUGGUUAGAAAAGCAAAGCUCAGGCUCACCCCAGGCCCGCUGAAACAGAAACUGGGGUGAAGCCUUGCAGUCUGUGUUUUAACAAGCAGCCUUUCACAUUGCCUGCCAGCUAAGGGAUGAGAAGGAGGAAGCUGGGAGAUGACCAGGGUUGGCCUGCUACCCCCAGAGUCUGCCUCCCCAGUCAAGGCCAGAACCAGCACCAUGAUUUCAGCGCCAGGAAGCCCAGUCCUGCAAGCCAGCACAGGCCGUGGAGCUGCAGCAGGGGGUGCUGAUGGAGGAAGGCCAGCAAACCCGCACCUUGCUUCAGCCUCGGGGCUAUCUGGCCCUGAGUACGUCUCCAGCCUGGAGCUGAAGAACUCAGGGGCCGGGCCAGCCUGUGGAGAGGAAGCAGGGCCAGGGCUGGCAGGGUUAUGGACCCAGACAAACAGCAAGGGCCUGGGCUUGAGUCACAUCCAUGCUUCGUCUCACCAGCCUUCUUUUUGAAGGCCUAGUGAUCAGCACUGGCCCUGGGU